UACGGGGGGGGCAAGCGUUGUUCGGAAUUACUGGGCGUAAAGGGCUCGUAGGCGGCCAACUAAGUCUGACGUGAAAUCCCUCGGCUUAACCGGGGAACUGCGUCCGAUACUGGAUGGCUUGAGUGUGGGAGAGGGAUGCGGAAUUCCGGGUGUAGCGGUGGAAUGCGUAGAGAUCCGGAGGAAGACCGGUGGCGAAGGCGGUCUGCUGGGCAGUUUCUGACACUGAGGCGCGACAGCGUGGGGAGCAAACAGG
rnacentral:rRNA from 1 species